AGGAAUUUAGUCCAGUGGUAGGAUGCUUUCUCAGGGAGCCAAAGUUUCCGAGUUCAAUUCUCGGAAUUCCCA
rnacentral:tRNA from 1 species